rnacentral:rRNA from 1 species
UUGAACGCUGGCGGCAGGCCUAACACAUGCAAGUCGAACGGUAACAGGAAGAAGCUUGCUUCUUUGCUGACGAGUGGCGGACGGGUGAGUAAUGUCUGGGAAACUGCCUGAUGGAGGGGGAUAACUACUGGAAACGGUAGCUAAUACCGCAUAAUGUCGCAAGACCAAAGAGGGGGACCUUCGGGCCUCUUGCCAUCGGAUGUGCCCAGAUGGGAUUAGCUAGUAGGUGGGGUAACGGCUCACCUAGGCGACGAUCCCUAGCUGGUCUGAGAGGAUGACCAGCCACACUGGAACUGAGACACGGUCCAGACUCCUACGGGAGGCAGCAGUGGGGAAUAUUGCACAAUGGGCGCAAGCCUGAUGCAGCUAUGCCGCGUGUAUGAAGAAGGCCUUCGGGUUGUAAAGUACUUUCAGCGGGGAGGAAGGGAGUAAAGUUAAUACCUUUGCUCAUUGACGUUACCCGCAGAAGAAGCACCGGCUAACUCCGUG